rnacentral:misc_RNA from 1 species
CCCUUCCGGUCUUCGAGACCGCAUCUUCAACUCGCCGCAGGACCCCACGAAAGUGGCCAGAAAUGCGGACGAGGCGAAGUAACCCUUGACUAUGAGUACCUUUUGUUCCCUCGGCGGGCUCGCGCCCGUCGCUGGGCCCAUCCAAACCCCUUUGCAGUAGCAGUAUACCUCUGAUCGUGGGCACUUGAAUCUUUACAACUUUCAACAACGGAUCUCUUGGUUCUGGCAUCGAUGAAGAACGCAGCGAAAUGCGAUAAGUAGUGUGAAUUGCAGAAUUCAGUGAAUCAUCGAAUCUUUGAACGCACAUUGCGCCCCUCGGUAUUCCGUGGGGCAUGCCUGUUCGAGCGUCAUUACACCCCUCAAGCUCUGCUUGGUGUUGGGCCUCUGUCGCGCCUCUUCCGGCGCCGACUGGCCUCAAAUGCUCUGGCAGCCUCCUCGCCGGCCCUCUCAGCGCAGCAGUACGCGCCUGCGAGCCGGCGGGAGCGCCGCCUCCACCUAAGACUCCCCCGAGUUUGACCUCGAAUCAGGCAGGGAUACCCGCUGAACUUAAGCAUAUCAAUAAGCGAGGAAUCGUAGCCUUGGUCAUUUAGAGGAAGUAAAAGUCGUAACAAGGUUUCCGUAGGUGAACCUGCGGAAGGAUCAUUAAGAGACGUUGCCCUUCGGGGUAUACCUCCCACCCUUUGUUUAUUAUACCUUUGUUGCUUUGGCGGGCCCGUCCUCGGACCACCGGCUUCUGCUGGUCAGUGCCCGCCAGAGGACCUAAAACUCUGUUGUUAAUAUUGUCUGAGUACUAUAUAAUAGUUA